rnacentral:rRNA from 1 species
UACGGGGGGGGCAAGCGUUGUUCGGAAUUACUGGGCGUAAAGGGCUCGUAGGCGGCCAACUAAGUCAGACGUGAAAUCCCUCGGCUUAACCGAGGAACUGCCCUCCAAACUGCUUGGCUUGAGUCCGGGAGAGGUGAGUGGAAUUCCCAGUGUAGCGGUGAAAUGCGUAGAUAUUGGGAGGAACACCAGUGGCGAAGGCGGCUCACUGGACCGGAACUGACGCUGAGGCGCGAAAGCGUGGGGAGCAAACGGG